rnacentral:rRNA from 1 species
AAGAGUUUUGUUUUGCAACAUGGUUUUCCGAUACUUCCUUUGGAAAAAUCCAUGAUCAUCAAGUCCCCCGGAAAUAAGCAGAUCACUCAGAGUUACUGCCAAGGAGUGAUUAUUGAAUUUGAAAGACUAAAGUUUCAGGCGAAUCUCAUCGUGUUGGAAAAUAAAGGACUGGAUGUUAUCUUAGGAAUGGACUGGUUAACCACCAACAAGGGAUUUAUCGAUUGUUUCAAUCGGACUAUGAUUCUCACUCAUCAUCAUGGCAAGACAAUAAAAGUUGCAGCUCAAGAGAGACCACGGUCACAGCAACCAAAGUUGAACAAAGUGGACAUUCCAGAAUUGAGAAAAGUUCCAGUGGUUUGUGAGUUUCCCGACGUAUUUCCCGAAGAACUACCAGGCAUGCCACCGGACCGAGAGAUAGAAUUCAGCAUUGAACUAGCACCUAGCACCACCCCCAUUUACAAGAAACCUUAUAGAAUGGCACCCUCCGAGUUGGUAGAAUUA